UAAAAAUAAGUCCCUUCUUGGCUGCUACCUUGUUUUUCCACUCGGUGUUACCACAGCACAUCCAAGGUGGAUCUGCAUGUUGAUUUGGCACAAGU